rnacentral:rRNA from 1 species
CUCAAAUGAAUUGACGGGGGCCCCGCACAAAGCGGUGGAGCAUGUGGUUUAAUUCGAUGCAACGCGAAGAACCUUACCUACUCUCGACAUCCAGAGAACUUAGCAGAGAUGCUUUGGUGCCUUCGGGAACUCUGAGACAGGUGCUGCAUGGCUGUCGUCAGCUCGUGUUGUGAAAUGUUGGGUUAAGUCCCGCAACGAGCGCAACCCUUAUCCUUUGUUGCCAGCGGUCCGGCCGGGAACUCAAAGGAGACUGCCAGUGAUAAACUGGAGGAAGGUGGGGAUGACGUCAAGUCAUCAUGGCCCUUACGAGUAGGGCUUCACACGUGCUACAAUGGCGCAUGCAAAGAGAAGCGAACUCGCGAGAGCAAGCGGACCUCAUAAAGUGCGUCGUAGUCCGGAUUGGAGUCUGCAACUCGACUCCAUGAAGUCGGAAUCGCUAGUAAUCGUAGAUCAGAAUGCUACGGUGAAUACGUUCCCGGGCCUUGUACACACCGCCCGUCACACCAUGGGAGUGGGUUGCAAAAGAAGUAGGUAGCUUAACCUUCGGGAGGGCGCUUACCACUUUGUGAUUCAUGACUGGGGUGAAGUCGUAACAAG